UACAGAGGGUGCAAGCGUUGUUCGGAAUUACUGGGCGUAAAGCGCGUGUAGGCGGUUUUUCAAGUCCUGUGUGAAAGCCCUGGGCUCAACCCAGGAAGUGCGCAGGAUACUGGAUGACUGGAGUGGCGGAGAGGAUGGCGGAAUUCCCGGUGUAGAGGUGAAAUUCGUAGAUAUCGGGAGGAACACCUGUGGCGAAGGCGGCCAUCUGGACGUCAACUGACGCUGAGACGCGAAGCGUGGUAGCAACAGG
rnacentral:rRNA from 1 species